rnacentral:rRNA from 1 species
UACGAGUGCUUCAAGCGUUAUCCGGAAUCAUUGGGCGUAAAGCGUGCGUAGGCGGUCCGCGAAGUCUGAUGUGAAAGCCCCGGGCUCAACCUGGGAACUGCAUUGGAAACUAACGGGCUCGAGUGUGGCAGAGGGGGGUGGAAUUCCACGUGUAGCAGUGAAAUGCGUAGAGAUGUGGAGGAACACCGAUGGCGAAGGCAGCCCCCUGGGCUAACACUGACGCUCAGGCACGAAAGCGUGGGGAGCAAACAGG